GUAAGAUUGCAUUUUACUUUGUGAAAAUACUGGAAACAACAUGCAUCUGUUUUGCUGUUUUGGUCAUCUUUUUCAUACAUAUGUACUACCAUGAAGUGCAAAUUACAAUAAAAACAUGCUGAUGAGAACCAUAUGUGCUUUCUUCUCAGAUCAUCUCAUUUAUUUCUCAUUCUUUAUCCAGACAGCAUUGUUCCUCUCCAGGACAAAUUUCCAUGCUUCAAGUGAGAUUCAGUUCAUCCAAUUUAACUUUUAGAUGGCAAGAGUAUCAUCUAAAGACCAUGCAAUAUGAUACCUUUUAUAACAAGGACUAGCGGAAGAAAAAUGCAGGUUUAGUUUCUCAGAAGCAAUCUCACUUUGAAUGUCCUGGAAAAUUGUUACGAGUCUGAUGUUUGUGAGAUCUGCAACACACAGCAGCUCAGGUCCUGCACUUUCACUCACUGAGCACUGAAGAAAUGAACAACGGCUUACCUAUAGAAGCACUUCCCAAUUUGGACUUUCCACCACCAG